GAUGAAGAACGUAGCGAAAUGCGAUACGUAAUGUGAAUUGCAGAAUUCAGUGAAUCAUCGAGUCUUUGAACGCACAUUGCGCCCCCUGGUAUUCCGGGGGGCAUGCCUGUCCGAGCGUCAUUUCAACCUUCAAGCUCUGCUUGGUAUUGGGCCUGCGCUGGUCUCCCAGCGGGCCUCAAAAUCAGUGGCGGUGCCAUCUGGCUUCAAGCGUAGUAACACAUCUCGCUUCUGGAGACCCAGGUGUUUGCCUGCCAGCAACCCCAUCUUCUCAGGUUGACCUCGGAUCAGGUAGGGCUACCCGCUGAACUUAAGCAUAUCAAUAAGCGGAGGA
rnacentral:misc_RNA from 1 species